AGAGUUUGAUCAUGGCUCAGAACGUACGCUGGCGGCACGCCUAACACAUGCAAGUCGAACGCAGUAGCAAUACUGAGUGGCAAACGGGUGAGUAUAAUGUGGGAAUCUGCCUUUUGGUUUGGAAUAACACGGGGAAACUUGUGCUAAUACCGAAUAAGCCCUUACGGGGAAAGUUUUAACGCCGAAAGAUGAGCCUGCACUUGAUUAGCUAGUUGGUAAGGUAAAAGCUUACCAAGGCAACGAUCAAUAGCUGUUCUUAGAGGAAGACCAGCCACAUUGGGACUGAGACACGGCCCAGACUCCUACGGGAGGCAGCAGUGGGGAAUCUUGCACAAUGGGGGAAACCCUGAUGCAGCGAUGCCGCGUGAGUGAAGAAGGCCUUUGGGUUGUAAAACUCUUUCGUCGGGGAAGAAAAUGACUGUACCCGAAUAAGAAGGUCCGGCUAACUUCGUGCCAGCAGCCGCGGUAAUAC
rnacentral:rRNA from 1 species